GUGGGGUGCUGCUGGGGGCAAGGCUAUGGGGCACGGCUAUGGGGCAAGGCUAUGGGGCACUGCUGUGGGGCACGGCUAUGGGGUGCGGCUGGGGGCACGGCUAUGGGGCACGGCCACGGGGCAUGGCCAUGGGGCACGGCUAUGGGGUGCUGCUGGGGGCAAAGUUAUGGGACACUGCUAUGGGGCAAGGCUAUGGGGCACUGCUAUGGGGCACGGCUAUGGGGCACUGCAGUGGGGCAAGGCUAUGGGGCAAGGUAA
rnacentral:lncRNA from 1 species